GACGAACGCUGGCGGCGUGCCUAACACAUGCAAGUCGAGCGGGGAUUUAAGUGGAAGUUCUUCGGAAUGGAGAUUUAAAUUCUAGCGGCGGACGGGUGAGUAACGCGUGAACAAUCUGUCCCGGACAGGGGGAUAACACUUGGAAACAGGUGCUAAUACCGCAUAAGACCACGGCCUCGCAUGGGGCUGAGGUAAAAGGAGCAAUCCGGUUCGGGGUGAGUUCGCGUCCGAUUAGCUAGUUGGUGAGGUAACGGCCCACCAAGGCGACGAUAGGUAGCCGGCCUGAGAGGGUGAACGGCCACAUUGGAACUGAGAGACGGUCCAAACUCCUACGGGAGGCAGCAGUGGGGAAUAUUGGGCAAUGGGCGAAAGCCUGACCCAGCAACGCCGCGUGAGGGAAGAAGGUUUUCGGAUUGUAAACCUCUGUCCUAUGGGACGAAGGAAGUGACGGUACCAUAGGAGGAAGCCCCGGCUAACUACGUG
rnacentral:rRNA from 1 species